UUUUGUUCAAUAAAUUGUAAAAUGCUUAUACUAACUUUUAUCAAUCUUUAUGGAGGUUCAGCUUGGAACAUUUUUCGGGCAACUCUGUAGAGUAACAACCUUCAUCCAGAAGUUAAAGACAGUGUGGAAGGUAGAGGUAACUUACUCCAGAAUUUUCAGACAAAGAUUGGUGUUCAUGAUCUGGAGGCUGCAAGACCUGCAAUGAGGAUCAUCUUAAGCUUUGAAAUACGGAAAGAGAUAGUGUUUGAUCUUGAUGAAUACAAUCAGUUUUUGUUCGAUGCGAGUGAUCCAACUAAUGGCCAACAUUUUGCUUAAGAAGAAUCAGAUGAAGAUGUGAUCGACUUUGAAGCUGAAGAUGAAGAUGGGGAUGGGGAUGAUGAAAAGGAUGAACAAGAUGAUGCUACUGCUCCAAGACUCAUACACGGGGUGAUUUGAGGAGUGGCAUUACCGUAUUAUUAAUUAAGGAGUCAAUGUAAUUGAAUUUGAAAUAAUUUAAAGUUUCUUUAAAGACACAUACACUGGGUGAUUUGAUAUUUUUUGAGGAGUUGUAUUACUGUAUUAUUACUUAAGGAAUUAAUGUAAUCGGAUUUGAAAGAA